ensembl:snRNA U6 U6 spliceosomal RNA
GCGAUCGCUUCAGCAGCACAUGUAGUAAAACUGGGAAAAUACACGGAAGAUUAGCAAGGGCCCUGCGCAAGAAUAGCACAAAAAUGCAUGAAGGAUUGUAAAACAAA